rnacentral:rRNA from 1 species
CCUACGGGUGGCAGCAGUGAGGAAUAUUGGUCAAUGGGCGCAAGCCUGAACCAGCCAAGUCGCGUGAGGGAUGACGGUCCUAUGGAUUGUAAACCUCUUUUGUCGGGGAGCAAGGCCCGCCACGUGUGGCGGGAAGGAGAGUACCCGAAGAAAAAGCAUCGGCUACCCCCGUGCCAGCAGCCGCGGUAAUACGGAGGAUGCGCGCUGUAUCCGGAUUUUUGGGGUUUAAAGGGUGCGUGGGCGGAAGGUUAAGUCAGCGGGAAAAUGUCGGGGCUCAACACCGGCCUGCCGUUGAAACUGGUCGUCUUGAGUGAGCGAGAAGUAUGCGGAAUGCGUGGUGUAGCGGUGAAAUGCAUAGAUAUCACGCAGAACUCCGAUUGCGAAGGCAGCAUACCGGCGCUCAACUGACGCUGAGGCACGAAAGCGUGGGGAUCGAACAGGAUUAGAUACCCCUGUAGUC